GUGCAGCAGUCGAGAAAUCUUUACAAUGUGCGAAAGCACGAUAAGGGAACUCUGAGUGCCUCCUAAGGAGGCUGUUCAGGUGUCUAAAAGCACCUGAAGGAAGGGCUGGGUAAGACCGGUGCCAGCCGCCGCAGUAACACCGGCAGCCCAAGUGGUAGCCACGUUUAUUGGGUCUAAAGCGUCCGUAGCCGGCUGGGUAAGUCCUCCGUUAAAUCCAACGAUUCAAUCGUUGGGCUGCGGGGGAUACUGUCCAGCUUGGGGGCGGGAGAGGCCGACGGUAUUCCCGGGGUAGGGGUGAAAUCCUAUAAUCCCGGGAGGACCACCAGUGGCGAAGGCUGUCGGCUAGAACGCGCCCGACGGUGAGGGAUGAAAGCUGGGGGAGCGAACCGGAUUAGAUACCCCC
rnacentral:rRNA from 1 species